UUUGGUGAGUAUUAUUUGGCCAUGUUCUUAAACCAUAACUCGAUAGAAGAAAGAUCAAGAAGCGAUAAAACGAAAUUAAGAAAGCUUUACCAUCUGCUAUGAUCUUGUUCCUAGCUCAGAAGAAGUCGUAGUCGAAAAUCCCAGGUCCGUCGUCGUUGAAGGAUCCAUAGCCAAGAGGAGAAAAGUAGUCGUCGUAAUAUUCAUAAUCACUAUAAUAGCUAUAAUCAUCACAGUAGUCGCUUUAACAUUCAUAAUCCAAUUCAGAUGGUUCCCAAACAAGCCAUGAUAUGUCACUCACCGAGUCAUUAGGGAGUCUCAGAUCUUUUAUCUGCUCACGGCAUCUUUUCCCUAAAUCCCCUCCAAGAUCGAGAUCAAAGCAUUGCCGGAUGUCAAGUGAUUCGAGGAGUGGACAGCCAUCAAGGAUGGCUGCAAGUCCUUCAUUCCGCAUCUCAUUAGCAAAAAGUUGAAGAUGAUGCAAAUUAGGCAUGCAUUUUCCGAUUGCUCGAGCAUAACUAUUCUGAUCAAAUCCAUCAAUAUCAUCAUCAUCAUCAUCUUCUGAAUCUGGUGGAAGCCGGCACUUUGAACCAUGUUCGUUAUAUGAGAAUGAUUUCAACUUUGGGCAAGAAUUGCCAAUAGCUUCAAUGUGGUGACCUUCUAUCCAUGGGAUCAUAGUAAGGUGCAAUUCUUCCAACUGUUCAAGUUUGCCAGCCGCUUCAACUAAAGGAUCUAUAUGUGCAGACAUCUCAUUGAAAUAUUCAAGUUUAAGACGUUUGAGAUUUCGUGAUCUGCCAAACAGCACAUGAUUAGACCAGAUAUUAAUUAUUUUUAGCUAGAAAAUGAUUUAGAUGUAAAAGGAGCAUAUUAUCACAAACAUGUAUUAACGCUUUCAUCCAACAUGAUUACAAAGGAAGUUGUACAAGUUAGAAAAUGUUCAAUGAAGCACAAUAUACUCUUCUUUUGAUGAUUGCCUUAGUGAUACUAAGCACAUGUUUUUAGCACUGAAUUUCUGUUGGAGGUGUUUGGAACACAGGUAAACACAACUUCAAAGUGCAAGCAAAAAAGGUUCCAAACCAAUAAAAUUUCAUUAAGAGAGAUUGCAACUUCGAGUCACAAUUGCUAAAAGGAGCCGUUUGAAUACUUGCAAGAAGUUAUUUCUUGUUCAAAGCAACGGCAAAACAAGAAAGGGCGAAAAUUCUGAGAAAAAGAGAAAACUUUUUGAUUUUUCAGUAGCUCACUCCCCUCUACUGUUAACACUCUAUCUCCAUUUCUGAUUCUAACAAAGUGAAUAGCAAAGGCCUUUCAAAAUUCACAAAGCAAAUACAACAUGCCAAAUCUCAUGUCCACGCUAGAGUUGUAACUAGCUGAGCCUAAUACUACACUAUGUCCAUUUCUGAUAAUGUAUUACUCGAGUUUGAUCUCAAGCUCCUAAAAGGUUCGUGCACUAGCUAGAUUGAAGGUCCGCGAACAAAUAAAUCCAAACACGAACGUGAGUCAAACGAGGCGAUGAGAUCGGCUCGUUUGCUGUUGAACGAGAUUUUUUCGAGCAGAGCCUCGAAUAACUGUGCAUUCAGAGAGCUAAUCCAAGAGGCACUGCCAAAUUUGAGCUUCAAUUCAAUCAUUAAAAAAUAAAAUAAAACAAAUGAUAAUGAACGAGCAUUUCAACAACAACACCAGCAGCUUUAUAAAAUCAUAACAUCAUAUCAUAUCCACGAACAGCGAUGCCUCAAAUAUAACUCGUUUAACAACGAUGAAUCAACAUUUUUCAAGUAAUAUCAAGAGCGGAGUAAUAUUUACCGAUCGGCGACGUAGUUUAUCAGUUCCCCGUCGCCGAAGCAGUCGAUGGUGAGGUCAACCAAUUGCCCCUGGCUCCGAUCCACUGCGCGGCGGCACAUGGCAGUGUAGUCCUCGUUCAUAUAGAUAUCAUGAGGGUUGCACAAAUCGAUCACUCGCCACAGGGCGGGAUCCUUGCAAACUUUCCACCAGGUUCUACACACUCGCUGCGCGUUCCUUAGCAUCCUCUUUGCGCCCAACCUCUGCAGAAUGUUGGCCGUUACAUCUUCGGGAAGUUCGAUCCACGGCGGCGGAGGGGCCGAGGAUGAAGCAGCUGGCGCCGGAGUUUUCCUUUCAACCCGCCGUUUUCGUUUUCUGCUUUUCCUUCUUUCCAUGGCGAUUGAAAACGCAGAUUGGGAAGGAGAGGAAUUUGAAAACGUUUGUUUAUUAUUUGGGUGAAUAUUUAGGCGGAAAAUACAUAAGGUCGUGUUUGGUCGCGUACGGCCCAAAAAUAACGCCCAAAACCCGUAAAAUUUGAGGUGGUUUCCUAUUAAACCGAUUUUUUUGUGCUAAAAUUUUGCCUAAAUUGUACUCCCUCCGUCCCAAUAAAUGUGGCCACUUUGUUUUCGGCACGGAGAUUAAGAAAGGGAAGGUUAUGUUUUAAUGAUGUGUGGUCCACCAAAAUUAAAUAGUUAAUUAAGUGUGGAAAACAUUCUUCUUCUUCUCACUUAAUCUGUUCCACAGUCUGCCGCCGGCGACGGCAACGGCGAAGCCGGCGGUCGUCCCUCACCCUCUAUCAAAUCGCAAAUACCAAAUCGCAUAGCCAGAAACCAAAAAUCAGAAACCAAAAACUAAAAAUCAAAAACCAAAAAAUUGCAGCCCUAUGGCUGUGCAGAUUCGUCGUCGGGAAAUAGCAUAACCAGAAACCAAAAACUAAAAAUCAAAAACCAAAUCAGACAAAUAGCAUAACCAGAUUCGUAGUCGGGAAUCGAGGCCAAGGGCCACGAUUAAAGUGCCUGGAAUCAGGGGAUAUGGAGCUCGGCGGCGGCAGCCCUAUGGCUGUGCAGUCGCCGGACUUGAAGGAGAGGUUGAGACGGAGAUGAGAGGUUUUGGGGCGUGCGGCGGUGGCUGGUUCGCUAGCUGCUAUGCGCGGUCGCCGGAAAUCGAAGCUGAGGCGGUGAGUUUAGAUCUAGGGUUUGUGAGAGAAGGGCGGCGCCAUGGCUGGGGAAAUCGAAACUGAGGCGGUGGUCGUCGGUGUGUGUGUUCUGUGGAGGGGAAGAAAGGGGCGUCGGCGGUCGUGGCUGACGGCGGUGCGGCGGUUGACUGCGGCGAACGAGUCGGUGGAGAAGCAGAGGAGCGAGUCGGUGGAGAAGCGGAGGAGGAGAUCCACCGGAACGGUCCUCUUCCGGCGAGGGUCUGUGGUGUGGGUAGGGGGUGAGGGUGCGGUGGCUGCUGGCGGGGGCGGCGGGGCGAGAGAGAGAGAGAGAGAAAGGUGGUGGGCGGCGGGAGGCAGGAAUUGUGGUGGGAGUUUAUUUAAUUAGUAGGGUUAGUUAGAUUUAAUUAGAUUAAUUAAUUAGACUUAAUUAAAGUAAAUAUUUCUAUUUUAAGAAAGUUGCCACUUUUAGUGGGACAAACUAAAAUGGAAAGUGGCCAUAUUUAUUGGGACGGAGGGAGUACUUAGAUACAAUGCAUAUAUGUUUUUUUGUGCUAAAAUUUUGCCUAAAUUGUACUUAGAUACAAUGCAUAUAUACCAAUGAGGUGAUCUUGGGUACACCCGGGUGUACGUACAACCAGAUUAUAUCUUCACUAAAAUUUUGAUCCAUAUCCUGAUUUGAAUCCAUAUCCUGACCCAACCCAUAUAAAUAACACUAUUAUGGAUACAGGUCAAUCCGAUUGUACGGUACACCCAGGUGUACCCCAGAUUUUGUGUAUACCAAUUAAUGAUACAUAUAUUGAUCCGUCUUAAAAAAAUGGUACAUAUACUGAUCCGUGUUGAGAAUAAAGAAUUUGGUUAAAAUUGCAAAAUAUACGAUAUUAAUAAAUAAAUAAAUCUUCAAAACCUAAUAUCUAAAAUUUACUAUUAUUCCGUACAAGUCUUAAAAAUAUUUAUUACCAUAUUUUACAAUUUUAGACUUAGAUAUGUAAUAUGGAGUAAUAUAUUACUAUCUUUGUCAUCACAAUUAAGUACAAGUCCUAACUUGAUCAAUUUUUUUUGUCAUCACAAUUAAGUUGAUCAAUUUUCUUACAUGGAAUAAAUAUAAACAAUGAAACAUCUAAUUACUUAUUCAUUUUAUUGUCAAAAACACUUAAAAAUUAUCUUAAAUUACGUGUCGAAAAGAAAUUGACCAAUUAAACUAGGACAUAAAUAUACUUUAUUGCUUUGAUUGGUGUUGAAUUCGUUUUGAUUUUAUUAUGUUCUUUUAGCAAGUAGUGGACUCACAUUUUUUAAAUUGGGAGUACAAACAAAUAAUCUAGUAAAUCAAUUCUUUAUAUUCUAAUGGUAUAGCAGUACUACUUGAACCAAAUUAAAUUUAUAGUAGCAUUUUCUUGAACUUUAGGUGACUCAUUUUUAGAAGACUCACUUCUAGAGAUUUCAUUUUCUUUAACAUAAAUUGUGGGUUUUUUGUUAUUCCUUUUAACUUUUUUCGAUGUAGGUAUUUCGUUAUUCAUUCUUAUAUUUAAUACACAAAUGUAAUCAUUCUAAAAGAAAACUAAAAUUAUUAGCAAAUCAUGAACAAGUUCGCACAUCAAAUAGGUAAAAAUAUACUCUCCUCAUUCUUAUAAAAAGUAUCAAAUUUAUUAUUUUCAUCAGUUCUCAUAAAAUGUAUCCAAUUUAUUUUUUAGUAAAUUUUUUCACUCACAAUAUAUUCAACUGCCUUAUUAAAACUUGUGCUAUUCAUGUAUGGUUAUUUUUUAUAAGGAUAGGAUAGAUAGAGUAAUUUGCAAAUGGAUUACUCAUUUUAAUAUAUACUUUAUUUUUUUUAUUUAUGUUGAAUUCAUUUUUAUUUUAUUAUGUUCUCUUUGAUUUGUCGGUUUCAUUGGUCAUUUAAAAGAACUAGUAAGCGUGUGAUGAUUGAUUGGGAAAUGCAGGAAUCCAACUAGUCUAUCAAAUACAUUGUACAGCGUCGUUUGUUAAAUUGAUCGAUUAAUCUAUAUUAAAUUUUUGAAAUGCCAUGUUAAUUUUAAUUUGAACGUAGUUUAAUUUUUUUUUAUAAAAUUGCUAGAGACAUAAAAUUUAUUUAUUUUCAAAUAAAACUUUCAAAGUUCAUAAAAAAAAUCAAAAUGAGUCCAAAAUUUAUAUGUUUAGACGCUAAUAACCUAAUAUUAUUAUUAAUAGCAGACCAUACAUCAAAAUUUGCACAUGCCCUUAAACUGUUAAAACAUAAUCUCACAUCUACAUCCAAUUCCAAAAAAUCACUUAACUAUAAGAAUAUUAUACACUAUCAGUAGAUAGAGAAGCCAUUCGAAUAGGUGUUUAAAAGAUAGGUUGAUAUAUAACAACGAAAACGAACAACAAAAGCAAGAAUCAUCAAAAUUUAAAUCAUAUAUAAAUGGUGAAGAACAUAACAAUUAAAUAUUCUUAUGCAUAGAGUUAGAUCAGCUACUAAAACAUGCAAACUGAGGGCAGAGUCAUAAGAGGCAUAUUGCUACUACCAUUGAUAUCUCACUAGAGAUAGAAUCAAAGUCCCAAAAUGCUGCCAUAACCACUUGAAAUCAACUAGCAACACAAAGACCUACAAGAAAAAUUGGUGAGGAGUAUUAUUUGGCCAUGUAUCUUAAGCCAUAAAUCUAACAAACGAAAUUAAGAAAGCUUUACCCUCUGCUAUGCUAUGAUCUUGUUCCUAGCUCAGAAGAAGUCGUAGUCGAAAAUCCCAGGUCCAUCAUCGUUGAAGAAUCCGUAGCCACGAGGAGAAAAGUCAUCGUUGAAGGAUCCAUAGCCAAGAGGAGAAAAGUAGUCGUCGUAAUACUCAUAUUCAAAAUCACCAUAAUAGCUAUUAUCAUCAUAGCAGUCGCUGUAACGUUCAAAAUCCAAUUCAGAUGGUUCCCCAACAAGCCAUGGUACAUCACUAACCGAGUCAUUAGGGAGCCUCAGAUCUUUUAUCUGCUCACGGCAUCUUUUCCCUAAAUCCCCUCCAAGAUCGAGACCAUAGCAUUGCCGGAUGUCAAGUGAUUCGAGGCGUGGACAGCCAUCAAGGAUGGCUUCAAGUCCUUCGUUUUGCAUCUCCUCAUGUGCAAAAAGUUGAAGAUGAUGCAAAUUAGGCAUGCAUUUCCCGAUUGCUCUAGCAUAAGUAUUCCGAUCAAAUCCUUCACUGUAAUAAUCAUCUUCUUCUGAAUCUGGCAUAAGCCGGAUCUUUGAACCACGUUCGUUAUAUGAGAAUGACUUCAACUUUGGGCAAGAAUGGCCAAUAGCUUCAAUGUGGUGAGCUUCUAUCCAUGGAAACAUAAUAAGGUGCAAUUCUUCCAACUGUUCAAGUUUUUCAACCGCCUGAAUUAAAGGAUCUGCAGACAUCUCAUCGCAAGAUACGAGUUUAAGACGUUUGAGAUUUCGUGAUCUGUCAAAAAACACAAGAUUAGACCAGAUAUUGAAUUUUUUUAAGCUAGAAAAUGAUUCAGAUGUAAAUGAAGCAUAUUAUCACAAACACGUAUCAACGCUUUCAUCCAACAUGAUUACAAAGGAAGUUGUACAAAUUAGAAAAUGUUCAAUCAAGCACAAUAUAUUCUUCUUUUGAUGAUUUCCUUGGUCAUAUUAAGCACAUGUUUUUAGCACUGAAUUUCUGUUGGUGGUGUUUGGAACACAGGUAUAUACUACAACUUCAAAGUGCAACCAAAAAAGGUUAUAGACCAACAAGAAUUCACUAACAGAGAUUGCAACUUCAAGUCACAAUUCAUAGCAAUGGCAAAACAAGAAAUUGCGAAAAUUCUGAGAAAAAGAUAAAACUUUUUGAUUUUUCAGUAGCUCACUCACCUACACUGUUAAUACUCUAUCUCCAUUUCUAACAAAGUGAAUAGCAAAGGCCUUUCACAAUUCACAAAGCAAAUACACAUGCCAAAUCUCAUGACGAAGGUAGAGUUGUAAACUAGUUGAGCCGAAGACUACACUAUUUCGACAAAAGGCUCGUGCACUGGCUAGAUUGAAGAUUCGUGAACAAAUAAAUCCAAACAUGAACGUGAGUCAAACGAGACGAUGAGAUGAGAUCGGCUUGUUUAGUAUUGAACGAGCUUUUUUCGAGCAGAGCCUCGAAUAGCUGUGCAUUCACAGAGCUAGUCCAAGAGGCACUGUCAAAUUUGAGCUUUGAACCAAAACGAGACUCAAUUCAAUCAUCAAAAAAUAAAAGAAAACAAAUGAUAAUGAACACGAAUUUCAACAACAACACAAGCAGCUUUAUUAAACUAUAACAUCAUAUCAUAUCCGCGAACAGUGAUGCCUAAAAUAUAACUCGUUCAACAACGAUGAAUCAUCAAUCUUCAAGUAAUAUAAAGAGCGCAGUAACAUUUACCGAUCGGCGACAUAGAUUAUCAGUUCCCCGUCGCCGAAGAAGUCAAUGGUGAGGUCGACCAAUUGCCCCUGGCUCCGAUCCACGGCGCGGCGGCACAUGGCAUUGUAGUCCUCGAACAUAUUCAUAUCAUCAAUGUUGCACAAAUCGAUCACUCGCCACAUGGCGGGAUCCUUGCAAACUUUCCACCAGGUUCUACACACUUGCUGCGCGCUCCUCAGCAUCGCCUCAGCGCCCAACCUCUGCAGAAUGUUGGCCGUUACAUCUCCGGGAAGUUCGAUCCACGGCGGCGGCGGAGGGGGCGACGGUGAAGCAGCUGGCGCCGGCGCUUUCUUUUGAACCCACUGUUUUCGGAUUCUGCAUUUCCUUCUUCCCAUGGCGAUUGAAAACGCAGAAUAGGGAGGAGAGGAAUUUCAAAAGAUUUGUUUAUUAUUUGGGUGAAUAUUUAGGCGGAAAAUAUAUAAGGUCGUGUUUGGUCAAAAAUAUUUUUGGGUGGGAUUACUCGCAUAAUAUACGCCUAAAAAGUAAAAACCCUAAAUUAGGGCCUAAAUUGCGCUUUAGAUACAAUGCAUAAUUGCAUAUAACUCUUUAAGAAAAGAUAGUAUCUCUUGAUUUCUUUUAGAUUAGAUAUAUCUUAUUCAAAAAACAUUAUCUUUUAUUUCAAAUACAUGGUCAAUUAAUGAUACAUAUACUGAUCCUUGUUGGGAAUAAAGAAUUUGUUUAAAAUUGUAAAAUAUACGAUGAUAAUAAAUAAAUAAAUAAAUAAAUCUAAACCAAAGAUAUAAAAUUUAAUAUUAUUCCAUACAAGCCUGCAAAAUAUUUCUUUACCAUAUUUUGCUGUUAUAGACUAAGAUAUGUAAUAUGGAGUAAUAUUUCUUUGAAUUAGUGUUGAAUUCGUUUUGAUUUUUUUAUGUUCUUUUUGCGAUCGAGUGGCGGAUCGAAGAUUUUUAAAUUGUGGAUACCAAAGAAUAAUCUCAUAAAUAAAUUCUUUAUCUUCUAAUGGUACACUAGUGUUAUUUGAACCAAUCAAAUUCAUGACAUUUUCUUGAGCUUGAGGUGACUCAUUUGUAGGAGAAUCACCUCUCUUGAUAUUUCAUUUUCUUGAACAUAAAUUGUGGGUUAUUUGUCAUUCCUUUUAAUUUUUUUGAUUGGGUAUUUGACUAUUUAUUCCUAUAUUCAAUACAAAUAAUUCUAAAAGAAAUCUAAAAUUAUUAACAAUCAUGAAAAAGUUUGCAUUUAUAGAGUAGUGUAUAAUAACUAAAUACGUGUAAUAAUUAAAUUCAUAGACUAUAAAGCAAACAAUUUAAGUAAUCUCAUUUUAAGAAAAUAACACUAAAUCAUUAAUAUAAUAAAAGUAAAAGACUUUAGUAUAACAAUUUUGGACUCUUCAAAGUUCAAAGUCCAAACAAUAUUAUUAUUAAGAGUUUAUAUUUAAAUAGCUCAAAACUAAAAAAUCUUUAAUUUAGCAUCCCCUGCUGAAUAUUUUUUUGUGAAUAAAGUUAACGAAUUUUUGAAAAGAAUUUAAAAGGAGAAAGAAAAGAGAGAAAAAUUGGUGGAAAAACUUGAGAGUAGAAAGAAUUGAGCGAUUAAAAAAAAAAAACACUCUCACCCCUAGACGAUGGGGAUUAAAUUUUAAUCAUCUCUCUAUAGACAAAGAAGCCAUUCGAAUAGUUGCUUGAAAGAUGGGUUGAUCAUAAAUUAAACUUAUUAUAAAAUUGUUAGUGACAUAAAAUUUAUGUAAUUUCAAACAACUUGUAAAAUUCGUGAUAAAAUCAAAAUGACCUCAAAAUUCGUAUAUUUUGACACUAAUAAUAAUCCAAUAUAAUAUUAAUAGUAGUACAUCAAAAUUUGCACAUAACCCUUAAACAUAAUCUCAUACCUGCAUCCUGAAAUUCCAAAAUCAUUAUUCAUUAACUAUAAGAAUAUUUUAUUAGGUGUUCGAAUAGUGCUUGAAAGAUACGUUGAUAUAUAUAACAACAAAAAUGAAGAACAAAAGCAAGAAUCAUCAAAUAUUUAAACCAUAUAUAAACAGUGAAGGACAUAGCGAUUAAAUAUUCUUAUGCAUAAAGUUAGGUGAAAUUCCAAAAAUGUAUGUUGCUACUGCCAUUGGUAUCUCGCUAGAGAGAAUCAAAGUCCCAAAAAUGCAGCCAUAACCACUUGAAAUCAACUAGCUACACAAAAACCUGCAAAAAAUAGGUGAGGAGUAUUAUUUGGCCAUGUAUCUUAAGCCAUAAAUCUAACAAACGAAAUUAAGAAAGCUUUACCCUCUGCUAUGAUCUUGUUCCUAGCUCAGAAGAAGUCGUAGUCGAAAAUCCCAGGUCCGUCAUCGUUGAAGAAUCCGUAGCCAAGAGGAGAAAAGUCAUCGUUGAAGGAUUCAUAGCCAAGAGGAUUAGUGAAGUCGUCGUAAGAUUCAUAAUCUAAAUCUUCAUAAUAGUUACAGUAAUCAUAGUCGCCGUAACAUUCAUA
rnacentral:lncRNA from 1 species